AACGCACCUUGCGCUCCUUGGUAUUCCGAGGAGCAUGCCUGUUUGAGUGUCAUGAAUACCCUCCUCCGCCUGGGCUUUUGUCUCGGCGGCUGGGAUGUGGGGGAUUAGUGCUGGCCUUCGGGUCGGCUCCCCUGGAAUGUAUUAGCUGGUCGCGACGCGGUCCUUUGCCCGGCGUGCCCGUCCUCGGUGUAGUACGCUAUUCACCUUGGUCGGUGCCGCCUUGACCUGUCUGGCUGCUUCGAACCGCCCUCGGGCAACUUAAUUUAUUGCUUUGACCUCAAAUCAGGUAGGACUACCCGCUGAACUUAA
rnacentral:rRNA from 1 species